rnacentral:lncRNA from 1 species
ACGUGCGAGUGUAAGUUCUCGUGGAGUGCGGAGUGGAUCAGCCGGAAGAGUGAGAUGGCAGUAGCACUGCAGCAUUGCUAAGUGUGAAGCGGGCCAUGGAUCACUCGUAAGGCUGGUGGCUCGCACUAGGUACUUAGGAGCCGAUAGUGGUACAUGUGACUCGAUAGAGUAUGUCGUGUAGGACGACGACGGCGGGUGUGCUUGGGGACGACCCGUGCCUGGACCAUUUGUGGACUGUGGAGCCUGGGCCCAUUGGGCAGGCACAGUCAGCUGUGAGAGACAGCGGCCCAAUGUAGGGCAGAGUUUUGGUCAGGGCGGUAGUCCGCGCUGAGACCCGGGAGCGUGGAAUGCCAUGCGUGGAUCAUGAGAUCGAGGAUACACCUAGUGUGUAGUGACCCAACCCAAGGAUUUGACGUGGUUUGGGGUCUUAGUUGCUCCUGGUUGGAGUGUGUGCGAAUUCUCCAAUGAGAAUUUCGCCCAAUAAUGAUGAUUGGGUCUACGCUGGUGAGCGAGAGACGCUACGCGUAGUUGAGAUUGGUUUAAGCGAUAGGUCUACGUAGGAUUGGUGACCUGUGGUUCACCUAUGGAUUUGAUGAAAGUGGUUGAGCGAGUAGUCUCAGCGAUGGGUGUGGCCUAGAUUUACGAACGGGAAUUCAUGUGGAUUCGUUGCAAGAACGAGUUGAUGAUGAUCGUGGCAUAUGGUAUUCAAGGAUAUACUGCUCGUGUGAAACAUUGAGCUAUUGGAAGCCACGAGAAGUAGAGGAUUGAAGUUGAUGCUCCUAAGCGAAUUGGAUCUUGAGAAUAAUGUUCUUUUGUGGAUUGAGAUUGGAGAUGUGCCGGAACGUGCCAUCUCGUAGUAGGGCAAGGAUCCGGUUGAGGAUUGGAGCACUCGCGAUUGGUCGAUGCACCAACGAUAUUGCUUCUAAGCAAUGCCGGUGAUCGAAUUGGAGUGCAUUCCCUGGCGGGAUGUGAAAUGCAAAGAGGAGUACUUUGCAGGCUGGUUGGUGAGAGGUGUGAGAAUAUGUAGAGUUGUUGAAUGUCAACUUACACUACUACCGAGACUCAAGGAGCCGUAAUACACUUUCAGAGUUACACUUAGCAAAUGUGCGUGAUUUUGGUCUCACAUCUUCCGUAGUGGGCCUUUGGAUGGUUUCAAUGAGAAAAAGGCCACUUCGAGAUGGAAAAGGGCAUUGGAGUCCCCGAUUGCUCGAUAAAUUGAAUUGGAGUGUGAAUUGAGUUGAAGUGAGUUAGUUUCGGGGACGAAACUCUUUUAAGAAGGGGAUAAUGUAAGGUGCCGAACUUCUAUAGUUAUGAAGUUGCGGUGGAAUGUAAUAUACCGAAUUUAAUAUAAAAAUAAAAAUAAAUGAAAAUAGUAUGAGAUACUAUUUUUAUUGGAUUUAGAGAAGUGAAAUAUGAGUUCGAAUCGACCCGUGCUGAAAUCGGAGCGAAAACAGAAGAUUUAGAAUUUUCUGUGAGAAACGGGGCAGAUAAAUUAGCAGAAAAUACACAGUAUCAAAAAAUUAUGAAAACUGGAGGAUAUGUCAGAAUUAUUUUUAUGAGGCUAGAUUUAAAGUUUCAUACCAUUCUGACACCCGUAGAGUGAGAAAUAAAAUCCGACAGUUAUCU